rnacentral:misc_RNA from 1 species
UAAUAAGUGUUUUAUGGCACUUUUUAAAUCCAUAUCCACCUUGUGUGCAAUGUCAGUCGAUCUUCUUCAUGGAGAUCGACCAAACAUCAACCUUUAUCUUUUAACUCCUUGUCUGAAAACCAUUAUGAAUAAACUAAUUCAAAAUA